UACGUAGGGGGCUAGCGUUGUCCGGAAUCAUUGGGCGUAAAGCGCGUGUAGGCGGUCCGGUAAGUCCGCUGUGAAAGUCGGGGGCUCAACCCUCGAAUGCCGGUGGAUACUGUCGGGCUAGAGUGCGGAAGAGGCGAGUGGAAUUCCUGGUGUAGCGGUGAAAUGCGCAGAUAUCAGGAGGAACACCAAUUGCGAAGGCAGCUCGCUGGGAAGUUACUGACGCUGAGGCGCGAAAGCGUGGGGAGCAAACAGG
rnacentral:rRNA from 1 species